CAGCCGCCGCGGUAAUACGAAGGGUGCAAGCGUUACUCGGAAUUACUGGGCGUAAAGCGUGCGUAGGUGGUGGUUUAAGUCCGUUGUGAAAGCCCUGGGCUCAACCUGGGAAUUGCAGUGGAUACUGGGUCACUAGAGUGUGGUAGAGGAUAGUGGAAUUUCCGGUGUAGCAGUGAAAUGCGUAGAGAUCGGAAGGAACAUCUGUGGCGAAGGCGACUAUCUGGGCCAACACUGACACUGAGGCACGAAAGCGUGGGGAGCUAACAGAAUUAGAUACCCCCGUAGUCCCUGUCUCUUAUAC
rnacentral:rRNA from 1 species